GUGAACCACCAUCUCAUCCUGAAUGCACAUGAUCUUAACUGAUUUCGGAAGCUAAGCAUGGCCACACCUGGUUAGUACAUGGAUGGGAGGCUACCAGAGGUCUCCACGUGGGGCUCGGA
ensembl:rRNA 5S_rRNA 5S ribosomal RNA